ACAGUAUAUAAGAGUUUGAUCAUGGCUCAGGACGAACACUGGCGGCGUGCUUAACACAUGCAAGUCGAACGGUGAAGCCUUUCGGGGUGGAUCAGUGGCGAACGGGUGAGUAACACGUGGGCAAUCUGCCCUGCAUUCUGGGACAAGCCCUGGAAACGGGGUCUAAUACCGGAUACGACCCGUCCCCGCAUGGGGGUGGGUGGAAAGCUCCGGCGAUGCAGGAUGAGCCCGCGGCCUAUCAGCUUGUUGGUGGGGUGAUGGCCUACCAAGGCGACGACGGGUAGCCGGCCUGAGAGGGCGACCGGCCACACUGGGACUGAGACACGGCCCAGACUCCUACGGGAGGCAGCAGUGGGGAAUAUUGCACAAUGUGCGAAAGCCUGAUGCAGCGACGCCGCGUGAGGGAUGACGGCCUUCGGGUUGUAAACCUCUUUCAGCAGGGAAGAAGCGCAAGUGACGGUACCUGCAGAAGAAGCACCGGCUAACUACGUGCCAGCCGCCGCGGUA
rnacentral:rRNA from 1 species